UACGAAGGGUGCAAGCGUUACUCGGAAUUACUGGGCGUAAAGCGUGCGUAGGUGGUUUGUUAAGUCUGUUGUGAAAGCCCCGGGCUCAACCUGGGAAUGGCAAUGGAUACUGGCAAGCUAGAGUGCGGUAGAGGGUAGUGGAAUUCCCGGUGUAGCGGUGAAAUGCGUAGAGAUCGGGAGGAACACCAGUGGCGAAGGCGGCUACCUGGACCAGCACUGACACUGAGGCACGAAAGCGUGGGGAGCAAACAGGAUUAGAUACCCUGGUAGUCCACGCCCUAAACGAUGCGAACUGGACGUUGGGAGCAACUUGGCUCUCAGUGUCGAAGCUAACGCGUUAAGUUCGCCGCCUGGGGAGUACGGUCGCAAGACUGAA
rnacentral:rRNA from 1 species